GUGCCAGCAGCCGCGGUAAUACAUAGGGAGCAAGCGUUAUCCGGAUUUAUUGGGUGUAAAGGGUGCGUAGACGGAGAAGCAAGUUGGUUGUGAAAUCCCUCGGCUUAACUGAGGAACUGCAACCAAAACUACUUCCCUUGAGUGUUGGAGAGGAAAGUGGAAUUCCUAGUGUAGCGGUGAAAUGCGUAGAUAUUAGGAGGAACACCAGUGGCGAAGGCGACUUUCUGGACAAUUACUGACGUUGAGGCACGAAAGUGUGGGGAGCAAACAGGAUUAGAUACCCUGGUAGUCCACACCGUAAACGAUGGAUACUAGGUGUAGGGAAUAUUAAGUUCUCUGUGCCGCCGCUAACGCAUUAAGUAUCCCACCUGGGGAGUACGACCGCAAGGUUGAAACUCAAAGGAAUUGACGGGGGCCCGCACAAGCAGUGGAGUAUGUGGUUUAAUUCGAAGCAACGCGAAGAACCUUACCAGGGCUUGACAUAUACCUGAAAAGUUAAGAGAUUAACUCCUUCUUCGGAACAGGUAUACAGGUGGUGCAUGGUUGUCGUCAGCUCGUGUCGUGAGAUGUUGGGUUAAGUCCCGCAACGAGCGCAACCCCUACAGUUAGUUGCCAGCACAUAAUGGUGGGAACUCUAGCUGGACUGCCGGUGAUAAAUCGGAGGAAGGUGGGGACGACGUCAAAUCAUCAUGCCCUUUAUGUCCUGGGCUACACACGUACUACAAUGGCUGUAACAGAGGGAAGCAAUACAGUGAUGUGGAGCAAAACCCUAAAAGCAGUCUCAGUUCGGAUUGAAGUCUGAAAUUCGACUUCAUGAAGCCGGAAUUGCUAGUAAUGGCAGGUCAGCAUACUGCCGUGAAUACGUUCCCGGGCCUUGUACACACCGCCCGU
rnacentral:rRNA from 1 species